rnacentral:tRNA from 1 species
GGAAAUGUGCCCGAAAGAUAAGGACCUCCUUGAUAGGGAGAACCACAGGGAAUCAAACCCCUCAUUUCCU